GACGAACGCUGGCGGCGUGCUUAACACAUGCAAGUCGAACGGAAAGGCCCUGCUUUUGUGGGGUGCUCGAGUGGCGAACGGGUGAGUAACACGUGAGUAGCCUGCCCUUGACUUUGGGAUAACUUCAGGAAACUGGGGCUAAUACCGGAUAGGAGCUCCUGCUGCAUGGUGGGGGUUGGAAAGUUUCGGCGGUUGGGGAUGGACUCGCGGCUUAUCAGCUUGUUGGUGGGGUAGUGGCUUACCAAGGCUUUGACGGGUAGCCGGCCUGAGAGGGUGACCGGCCACAUUGGGACUGAGAUACGGCCCAGACUCCUACGGGAGGCAGCAGUGGGGAAUAUUGCACAAUGGGCGGGAGCCUGAUGCAGCAACGCCGCGUGCGGGAUGACGGCCUUCGGGUUGUAAACCGCUUUCGCCUGUGACGAAGCGUGAGUGACGGUAAUGGGUAAAGAAGCACCGGCUAACUACGUG
rnacentral:rRNA from 1 species